rnacentral:rRNA from 1 species
GUAAGUAUGGUGACAUACUCAGCUGACCGGUACUAAUCGGCCGAAAGCUUGGUCA